CUAAAGUUCAAAUAGUUAAAGUGUAUUAUAAUACUCAUUUUGUUAGGUGACAAUAAUUGAGUAAAAACGAAAUUAGUACUAGUAAAUUUAGGUACCUUUUGCAUCAGGGUUUAUUAAGAAAUUUGUGAUUUUUCAUAAUUCCCGAAAAAUGUUUCGAGCUAUUUUAUGUAGGGGUUUUGUCGUUGUAGAGCUAAAAACAAACAUAAAAUAGUUGUUAUAUGUUAUUCGCGGCGUUGGAUAUCUGGUUUAUCUAAAACACAAUAAUUUGUCUUUUAAUUGAAGAAUGGUAUGAAAGGGUUAACGUGGGAUAAGCUGUGUCAAAAUAACAUAUUGAAACUAAUUUUUACGUGAAGAAGCGUGAAUUCUUUAGAGUGACGAUGAGACCCUAUGAAGUUUGACCUGAAGGUUGUCUCAUUUACCAAUAAGUUAGAGCACAUGUGCUCAGCAGAUUUAAGGUGGACUAUAACGGUUUUGGUGGGGCCCCAGUCUUAGUAGGUGUAAGAUAGUACGCAGUUUUUGCGUUUUACAGGGCUUUGUUGCUCUAUAAGUUAAGUUCUCACUUGAGUAAAUCUAUACUUUAUAAAUUUGAUAAACUACUCUAGGGAUAACAGCACAAUCCUCUUCGAUAGAAGCUAUUGAAAAGGGGGUUUGUGACCUCGAUGUUGGCUUUGGAUUACUUUAAGGCGUAGAAGCUUUAUAAGCGGGUCUGUUCGCCCUUUAAUUUCCAACAUGAGCUGAGUUCAGAACGGCGUGAGCUAGUUCAGUUUCUAUCUUCUAAUAAAAAAGGGUGAAUUUUGUACGAAAGGACUUUUUCACUAAAGUGACUUUUGUAAAAUCUGUAUUUUACAUAAAUUUUGAUUGCAAGGAUGGUUAACCAUCUAUGAGAGAAGUUCUUUUAUGUAGAAAAUGCGGUAUGCUUGAUAACUCCUAGAAAAUCCUUAGGUUCUAAAGGAUAUAUGCCCUUGCUUUUUAAAUAUACUAAGGCGCCUUGCUCCUUAUCUUUUUAAAUCUAAAAAAUAACACUAGAAUAUUGCCAGGUUUAUUUGGUUUAACACUUGGUUUAGAUUUGUGCAAGUGUAUUAUGUCUUAGUGUUAUGUUUAACAUUAAUUGUAUCAAGGGUUACG
rnacentral:rRNA from 1 species